AAGCCUAUAAAUAGAGCUCAUAGCUCUACAUUCUUCACACAAUCAAAGCUUUCAAAUACUCUCUCAUUUUUUUCAAGAAGCACUACCAUUUGUGCUCAUUAAUCCCCAUAUAGCCGAACACCAUAAGCAUACUAAGUUCAUAACUUUAGUUGCUUGAAGAUAUACAUUGUUUUUGGAAGCUCAGGAUAUUAAGGUCCUGAUAUCUUGUUUCUAGGAUGAAGGUUUGGGCGAUUCACUAUAGCAAGAGCAAUCUCUCUUUUUUCUUCUCAUUUCACACUAAAGCAAUCGAUGAUGGAAAGGCUAGUGGCGAGUGGGACCUAGGAGCUUCGUGAUGUACUCGUGGAGACCAUAUAGUCAAGGAAUAUCAAGCGGGCCUAUUUUUAUUAAAGCAUGUUAUUUUAAAUUUUUAUUUAAAUGUUGCUCUUUUUUUAUGUUAAAGACAAAUUAUUUUAUAUUUUGUUGAACCAUGGAUCCAUGUAUUUAUUUUCAAGUUUUUAUUCAA